GGCCUGCGUUUUUUGGUGAGUGCGGGUUUAGUGCAUGUUUUUAUUCGAACCUCAUGACUAGAUCCACACUCAUCCAAAAAUGGGGAUA
rfam:Oryctes borbonicus contig24466, whole genome shotgun sequence.